CCUACGGGCGGCAGCAGUGGGGAAUAUUGCACAAUGGGCGCAAGCCUGAUGCAGCCAUGCCGCGUGUGUGAAGAAGGCCUUCGGGUUGUAAAGCACUUUCAGCGGGGAGGAAGGCGGUGAGGUUAAUAACCUCAUCGAUUGACGUUACCCGCAGAAGAAGCACCGGCUAACUCCGUGCCAGCAGCCGCGGUAAUACGGAGGGUGCAAGCGUUAAUCGGAAUUACUGGGCGUAAAGCGCACGCAGGCGGUCUGUCAAGUCGGAUGUGGAAUCCCCGGGCUCAACCUGGGAACUGCAUUCGAAACUGGCAGGCUAGAGUCUUGUAGAGGGGGGUAGAAUUCCAGGUGUAGCGGUGAAAUGCGUAGAGAUCUGGAGGAAUACCGGUGGCGAAGGCGGCCCCCUGGACAAAGACUGACGCUCAGGUGCGAAAGCGUGGGGGGCAAACAGGAUUAGAUACCCUUGUAGUC
rnacentral:rRNA from 1 species